UUAAAUUGAAGAGUUUGAUCAUGGCUCAGAUUGAACGCUGGCGGCAGGCCUAACACAUGCAAGUCGAACGGUAACAGGAAGCAGCUUGCUGCUUCGCUGACGAGUGGCGGACGGGUGAGUAAUGUCUGGGAAACUGCCUGAUGGAGGGGGAUAACUACUGGAAACGGUAGCUAAUACCGCAUAAUGUCGCAAGACCAAAGAGGGGGACCUUCGGGCCUCUUGCCAUCGGAUGUGCCCAGAUGGGAUUAGCUUGUUGGUGGGGUAACGGCUCACCAAGGCGACGAUCCCUAGCUGGUCUGAGAGGAUGACCAGCCACACUGGAACUGAGACACGGUCCAGACUCCUACGGGAGGCAGCAGUGGGGAAUAUUGCACAAUGGGCGCAAGCCUGAUGCAGCCAUGCCGCGUGUAUGAAGAAGGUCUUCGGGUUGUAAAGUACUUUCAGCGGGGAGGAAGGGAGUAAAGUUAAUACCUUUGCUCAUUGACGUUACCCGCAGAAGAAGCACCGGCUAACUCCGUGCCAGCAGCCGCGGUAAUACGGAGGGUGCAAGCGUUAAUCGGAAUUACUGGGCGUAAAGCGCACGCAGGCGGUUUGUUAAGUCAGAUGUGAAAUCCCCGGGCUCAACCUGGGAACUGCAUCUGAUACUGGCAAGCUUGAGUCUCGUAGAGGGGGGUAGAAUUCCAGGUGUAGCGGUGAAAUGCGUAGAGAUCUGGAGGAAUACCGGUGGCGAAGGCGGCCCCCUGGACGAAGACUGACGCUCAGGUGCGAAAGCGUGGGGAGCAAACAGGAUUAGAUACCCUGGUAGUCCACGCCGUAAACGAUGUCGACUUGGAGGUUGUGCCCUUGAGGCGUGGCUUCCGGAGCUAACGCGUUAAGUCGACCGCCUGGGGAGUACGGCCGCAAGGUUAAAACUCAAAUGAAUUGACGGGGGCCCGCACAAGCGGUGGAGCAUGUGGUUUAAUUCGAUGCAACGCGAAGAACCUUACCUGGUCUUGACAUCCACGGAAGUUUUCAGAGAUGAGAAUGUGCCUUCGGGAACCGUGAGACAGGUGCUGCAUGGCUGUCGUCAGCUCGUGUUGUGAAAUGUUGGGUUAAGUCCCGCAACGAGCGCAACCCUUAUCCUUUGUUGCCAGCGGUCCGGCCGGGAACUCAAAGGAGACUGCCAGUGAUAAACUGGAGGAAGGUGGGGAUGACGUCAAGUCAUCAUGGCCCUUACGACCAGGGCUACACACGUGCUACAAUGGCGCAUACAAAGAGAAGCGACCUCGCGAGAGCAAGCGGACCUCAUAAAGUGCGUCGUAGUCCGGAUUGGAGUCUGCAACUCGACUCCAUGAAGUCGGAAUCGCUAGUAAUCGUGGAUCAGAAUGCCACGGUGAAUACGUUCCCGGGCCUUGUACACACCGCCCGUCACACCAUGGGAGUGGGUUGCAAAAGAAGUAGGUAGCUUAACCUUCGGGAGGGCGCUUACCACUUUGUGAUUCAUGACUGGGGUGAAGUCGUAACAAGGUAACCGUAGGGGAACCUGCGGUUGGAUCACCUCCUUACCUUAAAGAAGC
rnacentral:rRNA from 1 species